UCCCUAGAAGCGAAGUCUCGCAUUAAGUUUCGGCCUUAAUUUUGGGAUUAAUUUUUUUCCCCUGGGGACC
rnacentral:tRNA from 1 species